rnacentral:rRNA from 1 species
UGGGGAAUCUUGGACAAUGGGGGCAACCCUGAUCCAGCCAUGCCGCGUGAGUGAUGAAGGCCUUAGGGUCGUAAAGCUCUUUCGCCUGUGAAGAUAAUGACGGUAGCAGGUAAAGAAACCCCGGCUAACUCCGUGCCAGCAGCCGCGGUAAUACGGAGGGGGUUAGCGUUGUUCGGAAUUACUGGGCGUAAAGCGCACGUAGGCGGACCAGAAAGUUGGGGGUGAAAUCCCGGGGGCUCAACCCCGGAACUGCCUCCAAAACUAUUGGUCUAGAGUUCGAGAGAGGUGAGUGGAAUUCCAAGUGUAGAGGUGAAAUUCGUAGAUAUUUGGAGGAACACCAGUGGCGAAGGCGGCUCACUGGCUCGAUACUGACGCUGAGGUGCGAAAGUGUGGGGAGCAAACAGGAUUAGAUACCCUGGUAGUCCACACCGUAAAACGAUGAAUGCCCAGUCGUCGGGUAGCAUGCUAUUCGGUGACACACCUAACGGAUUAAGCAUUCCGCCUGGGGAGUACGGUCGCAAGAUUAAAA